GACGAACGCUGGCGGCGUGCCUAAUACAUGCAAGUAGAACGCUGAAGGAGGAGCUUGCUCUUCUGGAUGAGUUGCGAACGGGUGAGUAACGCGUAGGUAACCUGCCUGGUAGCGGGGGAUAACUAUUGGAAACGAUAGCUAAUACCGCAUAACAGUAGAUGUUGCAUGACAUUUGCUUAAAAGGUGCAAUUGCACCACUACCAGAUGGACCUGCGUUGUAUUAGCUAGUUGGUGGGGUAACGGCUCACCAAGGCGACGAUACAUAGCCGACCUGAGAGGGUGAUCGGCCACACUGGGACUGAGACACGGCCCAGACUCCUACGGGAGGCAGCAGUAGGGAAUCUUCGGCAAUGGACGGAAGUCUGACCGAGCAACGCCGCGUGAGUGAAGAAGGUUUUCGGAUCGUAAAGCUCUGUUGUAAGAGAAGAACGAGUGUGAGAGCGGAAAGUUCACACUGUGACGGUAUCUUACCAGAAGGGGACGGCUAACUACGUG
rnacentral:rRNA from 1 species